GACGAACGCUGGCGGCGUGCUUAACACAUGCAAGUCGAGCGGUAAGGCCCUUUCGGGGGUACACGAGCGGCGAACGGGUGAGUAACACGUGGGUGACCUGCCCUCAGCUCUGGGAUAAGCCUGGGAAACUGGGUCUAAUACUGGAUAUGACUCCACGGUGCAUGUCGGUGGGGUGGAAAGCCUUGUGCGGCUGAGGAUGGGCCCGCGGCCUAUCAGCUUGUUGGUGGGGUGANGGCCUACCAAGGCGACGACGGGUAGCCGGCCUGAGAGGGCGACCGGCCACACUGGGACUGAGACACGGCCCAGACUCCUACGGGAGGCAGCAGUGGGGAAUCUUGCGCAAUGGGCGAAAGCCUGACGCAGCGACGCCGCGUGAGGGAUGACGGCCUGGUGUAAC
rnacentral:rRNA from 1 species